rnacentral:lncRNA from 1 species
CUGCUGGGCCGCGCCGGGCCACCGCCCCUUAUAGCCUUCGCCCCGCCCCGGCCCCGCCCCACACGCCUUUUGUUCUAAACUCUCCCCGCGGAGGCCGCGGCCAAGGUGGGGGAGGUGGAGGAGAAGGGCUGGUCCCGCUAGGGCUGGAGGCUCGGAGACCCAGUCCUUCCUAGGAUCCGGAGAGCCUGAGGUCUAAGAGGCCUGGUGUUGGGCGCCCAGGCCAGCUGGUGCUACUCCAGGCCUCACUUUCCCUGCUGUGCUGUGGGGAGUCUGACAGGAGCCGAAUUUGACUCCUCCUGGUCCCUACCCCACCUUUAGAAGGGGCUUUCCUAGCUGAUCUCCCUCGUGGCCUAACCUCUGACCUACUGCUAGCCUAUGACAGGUGGUUGUUCCCAGGGCAAGUUCUCCUUAGAGCCUUAGCUGAUAGAUCUGGAAGAUGGCAUAGCAGCCCCUGUGAAACAAGGGAUGUGUCUCAGGGGAAAUUGAAGCAUAAGGAGGUGGCUAGCCAGUCCCCAGCUUAGAACAUGUAGACAAUUUAUAAAUGGGAAAACUGAGGGCCCAAGAUCAGGCUUUCCCAUACCAGCAGGCAAGUGGAGGGGUCAGGAAGGAGGAUGCUAUUGGUAGACUGAGGCAGGCAGGGAGCCAAUCUCUGAGUGGGGACACUUGUGGCUCAAGAGACUAACACACUCCACAAGGGCCCUAGGGGCCAGGUUUCUGAGACCUGAGAGAGAGGAGGUGAAAAUCAAAGGAGAGGGUGAUGUCCAUAUGCUGGAAGGGAUCCUCCACUCGUGACCAGGUGCCUCACCACUUCACGAAGGCAAUCUGCUCCAUCAUGGGCAACCCUGCAGAGCCAAAACCCAAGCAGUGGCUCCCAUCCUAUCAGGCAGGGUCCUGAGAGGCUGCAAGGUGAGGCUGUGGGCACCCAGCCAGGGGGUAAGAAGGGAAGGAGGCCAACAGGGAGAAGAGGGCGAUCAGGCUGGCUCAACCCCUCCCUCCAGGUUCGGGUCCAGGGAGCCCUCUCGGCCUCUCCAGGAAGGCUCCACAGAGACUCCUAGAGGGCCAGGAGAGGAGAAACAAGGCAUCAGCUAUCUUUACUACCUGGAGUCGUUGGUCCGUGUCCCCAGGGCCCACACAGCUCGGGCCAGGCGCAAGGAGGAAGCAGGGUAACAUUUCCAGCUAAGAAGGACGCUGAAACGAGGUGAUACUUGAAGGGACAGGUCUCGGAGACCCGCGGGAAGGUGAGAGCGGCCCCAGGCCUGGCUACUCCCUUUGGGGGCGUGUCCCCUAGGCCCCGCCCCCUGGCGCCAGCUGAGUUUAGCGGCG